rnacentral:lncRNA from 1 species
GGCAAAGUUCAAUAUCACUGCCAAGAAUGCAGCUGCAUGUGAACUCAGAUGUGGUUCACUGCAUUCUCCCAGGUGAAUGGGCUCCUCUAAAAAGAUGGGAGAUGUCGGCCUCUCCAGUGCACAGCACACUCAGAAUUACAAAUCUAAGAAAGAAGUAUAUGAAAGCAAAGAUCUGGAGCAAAGAGCCAUGCUGGAGGAACCACCAACAACAGAAACUUGUCAAUCAAUCACAGAUAGGCUAUUCUAUAAUGAGAGAGGAGAAUAAAUCUCUGCAAAAUUUGAAGCAUGGAGAAGAACUGUCAACAACUUUCAGAGGAGAGGAGAUGAGGUAAAAUGAGGACUCCUGGGCCUAGAUUGAAUGAACAUCCAAUUAGGAUCAAUCAAGAAAGACUUCAUGUCCCACAGCAGCUGAGUUCUCAGGUUAAACAAAGACUAUCUUUCAGUGGCCUCCUUAUGCAGUAAGAAUUUACUGUUCAGAUCUUUCUACAAGAUACGUCUUACUCUUUAGAUUUCUGGCCACUUAGAUUAGAGCAACCCAACCACUGAAGCCAUCUCUGUCACAUGAUGCUUGUGGGCAGAAGCCAGCACUUCUAUUCUCCUCCAAGUUGGACGCUUCCCUCAAAUCUCAGCCAGCUGAGAAAACAUCCUGAUCUGAAGUUUGUCCAGGCUGUCCUGGGUGAGGAUGGAGGCACACAGCCACUGUCCCUAGUUUGUGACAUCUCGCUCUCUGUGAGAUUGAAAGGUUUCAGUUCUUCAAAAUAAUAAAAUACCUUCAGUCACAAGGGACAGGUUUGUAGGGGAGGGGGAACAAAAACAUGCAACUGGUUAGAAGAAUUCCUUUUGGAAAAAAAAUGUCACACAUACACCAAGACAUCAGGACUUUCCGGCACCACCUUCCCCUCAGGGAUUCACAGAGAGGCAAUCAUUUUCAAAGGUGAAGAAGUGAGAUUUGCUCUCUGAGUUUGGUAUUUACCCAGUGUGGCCAGGACAGAAAGUCUUUUCUCCUCUUUGGCAUGAAUUGUUUUAAAUGUGGAAGAUGGAUGCCUACAAAAAAUACGAAGUUCUGGGAAAAAAAAAAAAAAAGAUCUGUUUUUCUGUCUCACAUACCAGCCCCGAUAUGUACUUAGCGACCAAAGAGUGUGUAAGAAAGAAUUCAGUGGACCUUGGUUUUGGGGUAAAGUUUGUGGGUGGCAGCAUCAGCUGUGUCCCCCAUCCAUCGAAGUCUAGAAAGGGUCAGAAAUGUAGGAUAUUCCUGUAGCUUCUUCCAACAUGCUUUUUAAAAAGCUAAAAGCAAUCUUGAAAGUGAAUUUAUAUCACUAUUGAAACACCACUUGCUACAAAGACAGGGCAACCACAAAAUAAAUACAACACGAGCAAAUAGACAUCAAACAUCAGCUGGAUACUUUCUUCUUCUUCUUUCUUCUUCUUCUUCUUCUUCUUCUUUCUUCUUCUUUCUUCUUCUUUCUUCUUCUUUCUUCUUCUUCUUCUUCUUCUUCUUCUUCUUCUUCUUCUUCUUCUUCUUCUUCUUCUUCUUCUUCUUCUUCUCCUCCUCCUCCUCCUCCUCCUCCUCCUCCUCCUCCUCCUCCUGCUUCGUGAUAAAAAUGUUUCCUUACUAAGUUGAGACUUCACUAUUAACUGAUUGGAGUUGACUAAGGGGUUAACAGCACUCAUUUUACAUAAGGAGAUGAUCACCUGUAACCAUGUACUAUAUGAUAAUGUACACCAAUAUACUAUGCUUCACCAUAUAUGUCACCAGCAGUAUGAGUUCCACUGUCUGAGCAACACAUUUUUGGUAUAGGAAUUUCACAACUUUUUAUACACCAAAAACUAUGUCUUUAAUGAUUUCUUCUAUGAUAUACCCUAAGAGAUAAAGAACUACCAUUUCCAGUAGUUGAAAGUAUAAGUACAGAUGGCGGUUACUUCUUAGGACAUUGUCUCCAAUGUCUUCCUCACAUGCUACCGACUCCUUUUCCAUUGACCUCACUUCCAAUUGGGGUGGGGAAGAAAAUGAGUGAUCGAGAUGUAGGUACCCGUAUCAUCCGGACCGUACCUGUAAAGGCCCAUUUGUGGACCACACUGGCUGAAGUUCUCUCUUCUAUGUCUCAGUGAUUACUUCCUGCCAAAUCAUUCAAUCAACAUGCAUGUUUAUCAGGCAACUGUGUUAAACUCAUGGUGCUAGAGAGUGUAGGUGCAAAGUCACACCUCUAGCAAGAGUAGGUGUUAGCAGUGCCUGUUUUCUGAACACCACAAUCUGUAAUUUUACAGAUACAGACUUCGCCUACGGUCACAUAGAUGGGAGGUGAUGGAAUUCACAUGGAAAAUUUUGGUUCAUGCAUGGGCUAUGCUUAUAGCCUGGUGGUAACAUGAUAAAUUAAUCUGUGGUUAGAAAUUAUGGAGUCCAUACACGACGCAAGAGCUCUUUGUAAAAGAAACAAUGCCUCCACCAAAGGCUUGCUCAGAAGUUGAAGAAGGAGAAUAAUAUCUUUGAAAUAAUAGGAUUGGAUUGUCUUUGUGCCUGGUCACAGUGAUGAAA